rnacentral:rRNA from 1 species
CCCUUAGAUGUUCUGGGCCGCACGCGUGCUACACUGAGUGGAUCAGCGGGUCAGGUUGCGCGAAAGCGUUUCCUAAUCUUUAAAUCCGCUCGUGAUGGGGAUUGACGGUUGCAAUUUUCUGUCAUGAACGAGGAAUACCUUGUAAGCGCGGGUCAUCAUCCCGCGCUGAAUACGACCCUGCCCUUUGUACACACCGCCCGUCGCUCCUACCGAUUGAAUGUUCCGGUGAGCUCUUCGGACUGCGCGGUCUGCAGUUUCUGCGUUCCGUGCGGAAAGUUGCGCAAACCUUAACAUUUAGAGGAAGGAGAAGUCGUAACA